rnacentral:rRNA from 1 species
CAUCACCUCAAGUGGUCAGGAUGAUUAUUGGGCCUAAAGCAUCCGUAGCCGGCGCUGUAAGUUUUCGGUUAAAUCUGUACGCUCAACGUACAGGCUGCCGGGAAUACUGCAGCGCUAGGGAGUGGGAGAGGUAGACGGUACUCGGUAGGAAGGGGUAAAAUCCUUUGAUCUAUUGAUGACCACCUGUGGCGAAGGCGGUCUACCAGAACACGUCCGACGGUGAGGGAUGAAAGCUGGGGGAGCAAACCGGAUUAGAUACCCGAGUAGUCC